rnacentral:rRNA from 1 species
UACGAAGGGGACUAGCGUUGUUCGGAUUUACUGGGCGUAAAGCGCGCGUAGGCGGAUCGCUAAGUCAGGGGUGAAAUGCCAAGGCUCAACCUUGGAACUGCCUUUGAUACUGACGAUCUGGAGAUUGGGAGAGGUGAGUGGAAUUCCGAGUGUAGAGGUGAAAUUCGUAGAUAUUCGGAGGAACACCAGAAGCGAAGGCGGCUCACUGGCCCAAUACUGACGCUGAGGCGCGAAAGCGUGGGGAGCGAACGGG